GAUUUCUGGUACGGCGCACUUGGCCCGUCUCGGUUACGAGUAUGUGUGCCGGUGUGCGCCUGCCAUCCAUCUAGAGAACAUUGUCGCCCUUCACUGGUGUGGGCAAUGGUGAUCUAGAUCUUUUACUUUGAAAAAAUUAGAGUGUUUAAAGCAGGCUUGUGCUAUGAAUACAUUAGCAUGGAAUAAUAAUUUAGGACUUUGGUCUUAUUUUGUUGGUUUCUAGGACUAAAGUAAUGAUUGAUAGGGAUAGUUGGGGGUGCUAGUAUUCAGCGGCCAGAGGUGAAAUUCUUGGAUUCGCUGAAGACUAACUUAUGCGAAAGCAUU
rnacentral:rRNA from 1 species